GACGAACGCUGGCGGCGUGCUUAACACAUGCAAGUCGAACGGAAAGGCCCUGCUUUUGUGGGGUGCUCGAGUGGCGAACGGGUGAGUAACACGUGAGUAACCUGCCCUUGACUGUGGGAUAACUCCAGGAAACGGGGGCUAAUACCGGAUAGGAGCGCCUGCUGCAUGGUGGGGGUUGGAAAGCUUCGGCGGGUGGGGGUGGACGCGCGGGUUAUCAGCUUGUGGGGGGGGGAGUUGCUUACCCAGGCUUUGACGGAUAGCCGGCCUGAGCGGGGGGCCGGGCCCAAGGGGACUGAGAGAGGGCGCAGAGUGGUACGGGAGGCAGCAGGGGGGAAUCUGGCCCAAUGGGGCGGCGCGUGAUGAGGAAACGUCGCGGGCGGGAUGACGGCCUUCGGGGUAUAAAACGCUUUCGCCUGUGACGAAGCGGGAGUGACGGUAAUGGAUAAAGAAGCACCGGCUAACUACGUG
rnacentral:rRNA from 1 species